CCUACGGGAGGCAGCAGUAGGGAAUGUUGCGCAAUGGGCGAAAGCCUGACGCAGCAACGCCGCGUGAACGAGACGCACUUCGGGGUGUAAAGGUCUGUCAGGGGGGACGAAAAAUGACGGUACCCACAGAGGAAGCACCGGCUAACGCCGUGCCAGCAGCCGCGGUAAUACGGAGGGUGCAAGCGUUGUCCGGAAGCAUUGGGCGUAACGAGUUCGGAGGAGGCAUGUACAGUCAGGUGUUAAAGGCGCAGGCUCAACCCGUGUAUGGCACUUUAUACUUGCAAGCUGGAAUGCGGUAGAGGUAACGGGCAUUCCUGGUGUAGCGGUGAACUGCUUAGAUAUCAGGAGGACCAUCGGUGGCGUACGCGCUUUACUGGGCCGUAAUUGACGCUGAGGAACGACAGCCCGGGUAGCACAUGGGCUUCGAUACCCGAGUAGUC
rnacentral:rRNA from 1 species